rnacentral:hammerhead_ribozyme from 1 species
GCACUGCUGACGAAUCCCAAACAGGACGAAACAGCUGUCCAUUGC